GACCUCAAAUCAGGUAGGACUACCCGCUGAACUUAAGCAUAUCAAUAAGCGGAGGAAAAGAAACUAACAAGGAUUCCCCUAGUAACUGCGAGUGAAGAGGGAAAAGCUCAAAUUUAAAAUCUGGCAGCCUCAGGUUGUCCGAGUUGUAAUUUAGAGAAGU
rnacentral:rRNA from 1 species